UAGGGAAUCUUCGGCAAUGGACGAAAGUCUGACCGAGCAACGCCGCGUGAGUGAAGAAGGUUUUCGGAUCGUAAAACUCUGUUGUUAGAGAAGAACAAGGACGUUAGUAACUGAACGUCCCCUGACGGUAUCUAACCAGAAAGCCACGGCUAAAUACGUGCCAGCAGCCGCGGUAAUACGUAGGUGGCAAGCGUUGUCCGGAUUUAUUGGGCGUAAAGCGAGCGCAGGCGGUUUCUUAAGUCUGAUGUGAAAGCCCCCGGCUCAACCGGGGAGGGUCAUUGGAAACUGGGAGACUUGAGUGCAGAAGAGGAGAGUGGAAUUCCAUGUGUAGCGGUGAAAUGCGUAGAUAUAUGGAGGAACACCAGUGGCGAAGGCGGCUCUCUGGUCUGUAACUGACGCUGAGGCUCGAAAGCGUGGGGAGCAAACAGG
rnacentral:rRNA from 2 species